UAGGGAGUUUUCGGCAAUGGGGGAAACCCUGACCGAGCAACGCCGCGUGAGUGAUUAAGGUCUUCGGAUUGUAAAGCUCUGUUACAGGGGAAGAAUGGCGACUUCAGGAAAUGGGAGUCGUUUGACGGUACUCUGCCAGAAAGUGACGGCUAACUACGUGCCAGCAGCCGCGGUAAUACGUAGGUCACAAGCGUUAUCCGGAAUUAUUGGGCGUAAAGAGUGAGCAGGCGGCAUGGUAAGUUCGCAGUGAAAGCGUGGGGCUUAACCCCAUAUAGCUGUGAAAACUGCCAAGCUUGAGUAUGUGAGAGGUCAACGGAACUCCAUGUGUAGCGGUGAAAUGCGUAGAUAUAUGGAAGAACACCGGUGGCGAAGGCGGUUGACCAGCACAAUACUGACGCUCAGUCACGAAAGCGUGGGGAGCAAAUA
rnacentral:rRNA from 1 species